AGAAUGAACGCUAGCGAUAUGCUUAACACAUGCAAGUUGAACGUUGUUUUCGAGUCAAAAUGAAAACAAAGUGGCGAACGGGUGCGUAACACGUGGGAAUCUGCCAAACAGUUUGGGCCAAAUCCUGAAUGAAUGAAAGCUAAAAAGCGCUGUUUGAUGAGCCCACGUAGUAUUAGGUAGUUGGUUAGGUAAAAGCUGACCAAGCCUACGAUGCUUAGCUGGUCUUUUCGGAUGAUCAGCCACACUGGGACUGAGACACGGCCCAGACUCCUACGGGAGGCAGCAGUGGGGAAUCUUGGACAAUGGGCGAAAGCCUGAUCCGGCAAUAUGGCGUGAGUGAAGAAGGGCAACGCAGCUUGUAAAGCUUCUUUCAUCGAGUGUGCGAUUGUGACAAGACUUGAAUAAGAAGCCCCGGCUAACUCCGCGCCAGCAGCCGC
rnacentral:rRNA from 1 species